CCUACGGGUGGCAGCAGUGGGGGAUAUUGCACAAUGGGGGGAACCCUGAUGCAGCGACGCCGCGUGGGUGAAGGAGCGUUUCGGCGCGUAAAGCCCUAUCGGCAGGGAAGAAGGAGGACGGUACCUGACUAAGAAGCCCCGGCUAACUACGUGCCAGCAGCCGCGGUAAUACGUAGGAUGCGAGCGUUAUCCGGAUUUAUUGGGUUUAAAGGGUGCGUAGGCGGGCUGUUAAGUCAGCGGUAAAAGCCCGGGGCUCAACCCCGGCGAGCCGUUGAAACUGGCUGUCUUGAGAUGUCGAGAGGUAUGCGGAAUGCGCAGUGUAGCGGUGAAAUGCUUAGAUAUUGCGCAGAACUCCGAUUGCGAAGGCAGCAUACCGGCGGCGAUCUGACGCUGAGGCACGAAAGCGUGGGUAUCGAACAGGAUUAGAUACCCUUGUAGUC
rnacentral:rRNA from 1 species